GUCCUCGUGGCCGAUCGGAUAGGCGCCGGUCUUCUAAACCGGCAUAGGCAGGUUCGACUCCUGCCGAGGACA
rnacentral:tRNA from 1 species